UUGUGGGUGAUGAGCGAAAGAAAAGUGUUGUUAUCUUAUUCUGGAACCAACUGCCGGCAUAGCCGGCAAGCUACUUAGCGGCAAAUCAGUGUUGAAUGCGAACAUGUAGAGAACGAUUUUAAUCUGAAGACAGUUUCUUGUUAACGACUUUUGGAGUGGCAAAGACGAAAGCACUGUGUAGGCCUACUUGAAGUUGCCGAAGCUCGCGCUUCUAGCUUGUGAGUCUGGUGUCCUAUCUGCAUAUUGUUAACGUGAACUAAUGGGGGAAAACAUCAGGGUGAAACAACAAUCACUCAAGCCAAGCCAAACUAGAGGAUGACAACAGAAAGAAAGUGUAUUUAUAACUUCACCACCCGGAGCAUUUUGAUUUGACAUUCUGAUCGUCCCUAUCAGAACCACCAGAAUAGUACAUUGAACCUAAGCCAGGUUCUACGAAAGAAACACCCACCACCUGUGGAGGCCCACCCCACAGCCACGCACCACGAGGGGACCCGACUGCCGUGUGUAUUACUUCCAGUUUGCUAUGCACGCGGGGGACGUUGAUCACUGCCGUCUUGUUCCCCGACCCACACCAUCGUUCUUCCGCAGCUGAUAACAACUCUCGUACUCACUGCUAACCCGGGUCGACGUCAGUCACUCCAGCUCUCAUCAGCUGACGGUACUUCGAAUCAGCUCGGUACGUGCCGACCGCACACACGCCGUGCCGGUCCCGCUCUGGAAACAGCGCAUAUUUAUUUUGAUGGUAGCGAAUUCCUAGACGAAACAUCUCGAGACAGACUUCAGAUGUUCUUUUCUCACUUGCUGCAUAAACACAAGUAUUUUCAUGCUCUGUUGUUGGCAGUUCGCGACUGGCUACAUAAACAGUGAAGACGAGUGCGACUCUCUGCAGAGUUUUCGUUUCUGGGUUUCCUAAGGACAAACAUUCAACCUAAAUCGAUAAGUGAGACGUCAUGCCACUUCUGGACUUCUUCACUUUAAAUAAACACGACUGCACUGGGGGUCUUUUGGCCUUAGCAAAGGAACGUGGAAAAGGAUUCAAACGAGGAUACUAGCGUGACAGGGAGCGGCUACAUCAUAACUGCCAGUGGCUGCAAGGG